ACUGCGAGUGAAGAGGGAAAAGCUCAAAUUUAAAAUCUGGCAGCUUUGCUGUCCGAGUUGUAAUUUAGAGAAGUGUUACCCGCGCUGGACCGUGUAUAAGUCUCCUGGAAUGGAGCGUCGUAGAGGGUGAGAAUCCCGUCUUUGACACGGACUACCAGGGCAUUGUGGUGCGCUCUCGAAGAGUCGCGUUGUUUGGGAAUGCAGCGCUAAAUGGGUGGUAAAUUCCAUCUAAAGCUAAAUAUUGGCGAGAGACCGAUAGCGAACAAGUACCGUGAGGGAAAGAUGAAAAGAACUUUGGAAAGAGAGUUAAACAGUACGUGAAAUUGCUGAAAGGGAAACGCUUGAAGUCAGUCGCGUUGACCGGGGAUCAGCCUUGCUUCUGUGAGGUGUACUUCCUGGUUGACGGGUCAGCAUCAGUUUCGAUCAUUGGAAAAAGGCUUGGGGAAUGUGGCACCUCCGGGUGUGUUAUAGCCCCUUGUCCGUAUACAGUGGUUGGGACUGAGGAACUCAGCACGCCGCAAGGCCGGGUUUCGACCACGUUCGUGCUUAGGAUGCUGGCAAAAUGGCUUUAAGCGACCCGUCUUGAAACACGGACCAAGGAGUCUAACAUGCUUGCGAGUGUUUGGGUGGAAAACCCGAGCGCGUAAUGAAAGUGAAAGUUGGGAUCUCUGUCGUGGAGAGCACCGACGCCCGGACCUGAUGUUUACUGACGGAUCUGCGGUAGAGCACGUAUGUUGGGACCCGAAAGAUGGUGAACUAUGCCUGAAUAGGGCGAAGCCAGAGGAAACUCUGGUGGAGGCUCGUAGCGAUUCUGACGUGCAAAUCGAUCGUCGAAUUUGGGUAUAGGGCGAAAGACUAAUCGA
rnacentral:rRNA from 1 species